AAAAAAGAAAAGUUUUUGUGUACCGGAACACAACCAAAAGAACAAAUGCCAAUUUAUUUAUUGACGAACAACGUAAAACGAAAAAUGAGACACAAGAGGAGAUAUGAUAACUAGCCACAAGACCACAUGAAAUGCAUCCCAGGAUUUACCUUGCAAAGAAGACGCUGAUAAAUCUGAGAAUGUUCGAUGAAGGCAACCAGGAUGGCGGAAAAACUUUAAGUUCAUUACAUGUGAAGAUCAGCUGAAGGCACUGGGACCGUCUAACCUGGAGAAGAGAAGACUCAGGACACAUGACAGAUCUGCUCGAUAUCUGAAGGACCGCCACAAGGAGGAAGCAUCAAAUGUACUCUAUUUGACCUCAAUGAGCUGAACUAGGAGACAUGGCCAGAUGCCGACAAGAGACACAUUUAGGCCGGCUAUGAGGAAAAACUUCCUAGAAAUGAGAGCCUCCCAAAAACCGAACAGCCUGCCGCGGGCUCUUGCUCCUUUCACUGGAUUCCCCCACCCAUCAGUGCUCACUGCAUUACAGCCCCUUACAUUAUAAACCACAAGGGAUGGGCGUGUACACAUGCCCAUAUGACACCACAAAAAGGUGCUGCCGUGAAUACUGUGGCGCUUACUGGGCUAAAGCAUGCUUGGGUAGUGAAAGGUUCUCUCCACAGGGCCUGUUAGCUCACUGCCAGGGGCAUUCUUUCCCCUGAUGCAGACUGCAGCUCACACACGCCCUCCUAUUCUACGGGACGUUUAUCAGUGUCAUCACGUAAGUUUGCAACACGGGCUUCCUCACCACGUCCUCACGAGGA